rnacentral:rRNA from 1 species
GUGGGGAAUAUUGGACAAUGGGGGCAACCCUGAUCCAGCCAUGCCGCGUGUGUGAAGAAGGCCUUUUGGUUGUAAAGCACUUUAAGCGAGGAGGAGGCUACCGAGAUUAAUACUCUUGGAUAGUGGACGUUACUCGCAGAAUAAGCACCGGCUAACUCUGUGCCAGCAGCCGCGGUAAUACAGAGGGUGCAAGCGUUAAUCGGAUUUACUGGGCGUAAAGCGCGCGUAGGUGGCCAAUUAAGUCAAAUGUGAAAUCCCCGAGCUUAACUUGGGAAUUGCAUUCGAUACUGGUUGGCUAGAGUAUGGGAGAGGAUGGUAGAAUUCCAGGUGUAGCGGUGAAAUGCGUAGAGAUCUGGAGGAAUACCGAUGGCGAAGGCAGCCAUCUGGCCUAAUACUGACACUGAGGUGCGAAAGCAUGGGGAGCAAACAGGAUUAGAAACCCGAGUAGUCC